rnacentral:lncRNA from 1 species
CAAAAGCAACUUUCAGGCCACAGUCCAUCACCGAGAGAAGUCAAGGCAGAAACUCUUGGCAGAAACUAUGGAGGAACACUGCUUACUGGCUCACUCUCUUACAUAGCCCAAGCCAACCUGCCUAGGGAUUGGCACCGCCUACAGUGGUCUGAAUCCUCCCACAACAAUCGUCAGUCAGGACAAUCCUUCACAGAUGUGACCACAGGCCAGUCUGAUGUAGCCAAUAUUUCAGCUGAGACACCCUCAGAUGACAAAGCUAACUCGGACGAUCACUCUUCUCAUUGCUGUGACCAAAGACUUGACUAACAAUGUUUUAAGUAAGGAGAGAAGAGUAUUGUUUGGCUCAUGUUUUAAGGAGGUGAAGUCCAUCAUGGUUAGGAAGGUACAGCAGCAGGAACAUGAUGUGACUGUUAACAGUGAGUCUGUAGUCAUAAAGGCACAGUAAAAAAAAAAAAAAAA